GGGAGGGAAAAAAGCUACAGGAUAAAGAUCUCUGCACAAAAAGGGCUAGAGUUGCUCCAGCUCUGAAGGAUCAGGUCAUGUAUAGACUGUUAAUCCAGACAAAACUGAAGACCAGGAACUGGAACCUGGGAACCUGGUCUGUAAUAUGUGUGUAAUGCUGGAGGUUGUAUGUAUAGCCAGAUGAAAUAGUCUGAUGACUAGUUGAAUAGUGUUUUUUAUCACUGAAAACUCAUCAGUAGUAGUAGCCUUUGUUUGCAUACCAUUUUGUGGUUUUGGGAGAGUAGGGUGUCAAGUACAGACACAAAUAAUUUUUCUUUCUUCUUCAAGGAAGAAUAUGUUGUCCUGAAGGACACAAUUCAGGCAGCAGCAUGGUGCCAGUUACAGUCCUUCAAGGACAGCCUUUCUCUCCCAGAGGUCAUUGGGAUGGAAGGUUGGGAGCAGAUGGCAGCAUCAACACAGCGCAAAUCCCAUGACGGCGGGGAUGAGGAAGAAACGUGGAACCCAUUCCAAUUCUCAUUCAGAUUACAUACUGACUAUGAACUGUUCUGUGUGGAGAUGAUGGACAGGAGAAACCUGAAGGUGUUUGCCUCUUUUGAGUCAAACACCUCUACCCCUCCCCGUCCCCCCUCCCUGUGACGCCUGCGCCACACGACUCCAAUGUAGUCUGAUGAUGCAGCAUAAUGGCGGCGCUUGGCAGCUAUGGCUGCGGUGACGGCGAUGUCGGGC
ensembl:lncRNA